rnacentral:misc_RNA from 1 species
UUCUAGAACUAAGAAUUAAUGAAAAUGGCACUUAAAACGUCAUUUUUCUUAAUCCCAUGUGAUUGGUAUUGAAUCUGUUUUGCUUGUACUAUCAUCCAUCACAAAUAUCCAUGACUUUGAGUGUCAGCAAUGCAUUUCAGAGUAGAAGUGGUUGAUAGCACAAUUUGCUCCUUUAUAUUCGGACAAUGUGGAGAAAAAGCAUGUCCUUUUAUUAAAAAUAUUUUUAGCAAGGGACUAAUAAAAGCUUUUGCCCCUUUUUUCCCUAGAGCCUCUUAUGUG